rfam:Phytophthora infestans T30-4 supercont1.3605 genomic scaffold, whole genome shotgun sequence.
GACAGCUUGGCCGAGUGGUUAAGGCGAUAGACUAGAAAUCUAUUGGGGUAACCCGCGUGAGUUCAAAUCUCACAGCAGUCG